rnacentral:lncRNA from 1 species
GGAAUUCAAUGUGAAGCAAACUGAUGCAGCUCAGAUUUCAAAUAUGGUUUCCCAGUUAUUGGAACAAUCAUAGCUGACUCAUUCCUGGGAUGUUUCUCUGUCGUGUUAAUUUUCUCUGGCAUCUCUUUAAUGGUAAUUCUCUCACUCAUGGUGACAUGUUUAAAUGCCUUCAUGUGCUAGAGAAAAAAAUCAGUAUAGUUCCUAAACCUUCAAAUUUAUUUCUUGUAAUACAGGUAAUCAUUGGAAAGCAGGCUUUUGUUUCUAUAU